rnacentral:rRNA from 1 species
GUCUACGGCCAUACCACCCUGAACAUGCCCGAUCUCGUCUGAUCUCGGAAGUUAAGCAGGGUCGGGUCUGGUUAGUACUUGGAUGGGAGAAUAGAACCUUGGAGUCA